GUCUAAAACGACUCUCGGCAACGGAUAUCUCGGCUCUUGCAUCGAUGAAGAACGUAGCGAAAUGCGAUACUUGGUGUGAAUUGCAGAAUCCCGUGAACCAUCGAGUCUUUGAACGCAAGUUGCGCCCGAAGCCAUUAGGCCGAGGGCACGCCUGCCUGGGUGUCACUAA
rnacentral:rRNA from 10 species